rnacentral:rRNA from 1 species
AUACGGAGGGUGCAAGCGUUAUCCGGAUUUACUGGGUUUAAAGGGUGCGCAGGCGGGCUGUUAAGUCAGUGGUGAAAUCUCCGGGCUCAACCCGGAAACUGCCUCUGAUACUAUCAGUCUUGAAUACUGUUGAGGUGGGCGGAAUAGGUCAUGUAGCGGUGAAAUGCAUAGAUAUGACCUGGAACCCCAAUCGCGAAGGCAGCUCACUAAGCAGAAUAUUGACGCUCAUGCACGAAAGCGUGGGGAUCAAACAGGAUUAGAUACCCUGGUAGUCCACGCCCUAAACGAUGAUUACUGGACGUUGGCAAUAUGACCGAUCAGCGUCUCUGAAGCGAAAGCAUUAAGUAAUCCACCUGGGAAGUACGAUCGCAAGAUUGAA